UCCGCGUUCAAAGUCCGCCUACGAGAGCAUGCAGUUCCUACUCUCUUGCUACCUCAUCCAGUACAACAAGGUGAUAGAGCACCUGAUGCAGCAAGCACCGAUUCAUCCUUUGAUUCCCCUCAGCUCAUGCAAGGUUGCGCUGAAGGCUUGCUGCUGCUUGCACAGGUUGCUGCAACUUCUCAUGAAGGCCUCCAAGCUUGCCUCUCCACACCUGCAUCGC